rnacentral:rRNA from 1 species
AAAUUGAAGAGUUUGAUCAUGGCUCAGAUUGAACGCUGGCGGCAGGCCUAACACAUGCAAGUCGAACGGUAACAGGAAGCAGCUUGCUGCUUUGCUGACGAGUGGCGGACGGGUGAGUAAUGUCUGGGAAACUGCCUGAUGGAGGGGGAUAACUACUGGAAACGGUGGCUAAUACCGCAUAACGUCGCAAGACCAAAGAGGGGGACCUUCGGGCCUCUUGCCAUCAGAUGUGCCCAGAUGGGAUUAGCUUGUUGGUGAGGUAACGGCUCACCAAGGCGACGAUCCCUAGCUGGUCUGAGAGGAUGACCAGCCACACUGGAACUGAGACACGGUCCAGACUCCUACGGGAGGCAGCAGUGGGGAAUAUUGCACAAUGGGCGCAAGCCUGAUGCAGCCAUGCCGCGUGUAUGAAGAAGGCCUUCGGGUUGUAAAGUACUUUCAGCGGGGAGGAAGGUGUUGCGGUUAAUAACCGCAGCAAUUGACGUUACCCGCAGAAGAAGCACCGGCUAACUCCGUGCCAGCAGCCGCGGUAAUACGGAGGGUGCAAGCGUUAAUCGGAAUUACUGGGCGUAAAGCGCACGCAGGCGGUCUGUCAAGUCGGAUGUGAAAUCCCCGGGCUCAACCUGGGAACUGCAUUCGAAACUGGCAGGCUUGAGUCUUGUAGAGGGGGGUAGAAUUCCAGGUGUAGCGGUGAAAUGCGUAGAGAUCUGGAGGAAUACCGGUGGCGAAGGCGGCCCCCUGGACAAAGACUGACGCUCAGGUGCGAAAGCGUGGGGAGCAAACAGGAUUAGAUACCCUGGUAGUCCACGCCGUAAACGAUGUCUACUUGGAGGUUGUGCCCUUGAGGCGUGGCUUUCGGAGCUAACGCGUUAAGUAGACCGCCUGGGGAGUACGGCCGCAAGGUUAAAACUCAAAUGAAUUGACGGGGGCCCGCACAAGCGGUGGAGCAUGUGGUUUAAUUCGAUGCAACGCGAAGAACCUUACCUGGUCUUGACAUCCACAGAACU